rnacentral:misc_RNA from 1 species
AAAAAAUUGAAUAAAACAAUUUCAAACUCUGAAACUCAAUACUAAAGAAGACCAAAGUCUCGGUCAACAAAUAGAAUUGAUUCCGGCUCUAUAAAUGGAGCCAAAAAUCAAACUGCAAAGUUUGACACGGCAGCAGACCUUAAGAAACAAUUAAACAACAGAUAUACAACACAACAAGUGUUCAGCUUACAUCUCCAACUUCGU